rnacentral:lncRNA from 1 species
AAUGUUGUAUUAUACAUAUAGAGAGAGAGAGAGAGGAUGAUAAUGAUUUUCUAGAUUUGAGUGGGUAUGUUCGAAUAUUUUGAAAAUCCGCUCUGAAUCUGACUCCUUGACAUCUCUAAUAGUGGAUGCAUAUGCUGUUGUUGAGUGAAAUAAUUAAGUCAAGAGUUUUUAUUACAUGUUAUUCUGUGCCCUCUAGGAUCUCAAGUU